AUUGAACGCUGGCGGCAUGCUUUACACAUGCAAGUCGAACGGUAACAGGCCGCAAGGUGCUGACGAGUGGCGAACGGGUGAGUAAUGCAUCGGAACGUGCCCAGUCGUGGGGGAUAACGCAGCGAAAGCUGUGCUAAUACCGCAUACGAUCUAUGGAUGAAAGCGGGGGACCGUAAGGCCUCGCGCGAUUGGAGUGGCCGAUGUCAGAUUAGGUAGUUGGUGGGGUAAAGGCCUACCAAGCCGACGAUCUGUAGCUGGUCUGAGAGGACGACCAGCCACACUGGGACCGGGACACGGCCCAGACUCCUACGGGAGGCAGCAGUGGGGAAUUUUGGACAAUGGGCGCAAGCCUGAUCCAGCAAUGCCGCGUGCAGGAAGAAGGCCUUCGGGUUGUAAACUGCUUUUGUACGGAACGAAACGGUCUGGGUUAAUACCCUGGGCUAAUGACGGUACCGUAAGAAUAAGCACCGGCUAACUACGUGCCAGCCGCCGCAGUAACAC
rnacentral:rRNA from 1 species